rnacentral:rRNA from 1 species
GUGGGGAAUAUUGGACAAUGGGCGAAAGCCUGAUCCAGCCAUGCCGCGUGUGUGAAGAAGGUCUUCGGAUUGUAAAGCACUUUAAGUUGGGAGGAAUGGUAGUAACCUAAUACGUUGCUACUUUGACGUUACCGACAGAAUAAGCACCGGCUAACUUCGUGCCAGCAGCCGCGGUAAUACGAAGGGUGCAAGCGUUAAUCGGAAUUACUGGGCGUAAAGCGCGCGUAGGUGGUUCAGUAAGUUGGAAGUGAAAUCCCCGGGCUCAACCUGGGAACUGCUUUCAAAACUGCUGAGCUAGAGUACGGUAGAGGGUGGUGGAAUUUCCUGUGUAGCGGUGAAAUGCGUAGAUAUAGGAAGGAACACCAGUGGCGAAGGCGACCACCUGGACUGAUACUGACACUGAGGUGCGAAAGCGUGGGGAGCAAACAGGAUUAGAAACCCUUGUAGUCC